UUCAUGUCGGACCUGUGAUAGAGCUGCCGAUGUGUGCACUUCAUGUCCAGAAGGGAGAUUUCUUCUUGCUGAGACCUGUGUACGUACAUGCCCUCGUGGGACUUUUGGUGACUUGAAAAGUCGAAAGUGUGAGAAUUGCACAGAAGACUGUGAAAACUGCUAUGACCCCAGGCACUGCCUGAAGUGCCAGUCUCAGCCACACCGGCCGCUCUACCUACAUGAAGGCAGAUGCUUUCAGGAGUGCCCCAUGGGGUAUUUUGCUGAAACUGGUACAUGCAUCAAGUGUAGCAGAUCCUGCCAGACGUGUGAAGGAAAUGCCACAAAAUGUCAGUCCUGCGAAAGUCCUUUGCUUCUGGAGCAUUGGGAAUGUAAAAGCUCCUGUUCUGAAAAGCACUUUGCCACCAAUGGAAUCUGUAAACACUGCCCUGAGAUGUGUCAGGAAUGCAUUCAUGAAAGUGCAUGCAAAGUAUGCAUGGACCAAUUUUUUUUGCACAAUGGGAAGUGUCUGCAGGAUUGCCCUUCUGGCUUUUAUGCCGACUCCAGGAGUUGCUCUCUUUGCCAUGAGGACUGCAAAGAAUGUGAUGGGCCUGACUCAGAUGACUGUAAUGAGUGUACCAGCAGGUCCUUUGUUUUGCACAAUGGCGAGUGCUUUGGAGAAUGCCCAGAAGGGACUUACUAUGAAACAGAGACUGAAGAUUGUCAAGGUAUUUUUUUUUUUCAAAAA
rnacentral:lncRNA from 1 species